rnacentral:rRNA from 1 species
GAUGAACGCUAGCGGCAGGCUUAAUACAUGCAAGUCGAGGGGCAGCAUGAAUGUAGCAAUACAUUUGAUGGCGACCGGCAAACGGGUGCGGAACACGUACACAACCUUCCUACAAGUGGGGAAUAGCCCAGAGAAAUUUGGAUUAAUACCCCGUAACAUAUAGAGAUGGCAUCAUUUUUAUAUUAUAGCUACGGCGCUUGUUGAUGGGUGUGCGGCGGAUGAGAAAGUUGGCGGGGUAACGGCCCACCAAGUCUACGAUCAGUAGCUGAUGUGAGAGCAUGAUCAGCCACACGGGCACUGAGACACGGGCCCGACUCCUACGGGAGGCAGCAGUAAGGAAUAUUGGUCAAUGGACGCAAGUCUGAACCAGCCAUGCCGCGUGAAGGAUUAAGGUCCUCUGGAUUGUAAACUUCUUUUAUCUGGGACGAAAAAAGGCCUUUCUAGGUCACUUGACGGUACCAGAUGAAUAAGCACCGGCUAACUCCGUGCCAGCCGCCGCUGUAAAAC